GUAAUGGUGUCUUUAGACACCACCUUUUAACUUAAAAAGAAAAUUG
rfam:Picea glauca, whole genome shotgun sequence.